CGGCUGUACUUGCAGCAGACCUGCCAGGCCACAGCCAGAGCUUUGAUUCAUUUCAUUUCUUACUGACCCCAUCACAGAGUGGAAGGAUGGCCAACAUUUCAAUGGGUGGUGGAGAGCUGCCAGAUUUAAAAGGAAGACUAAUGAUCGAGGAGGAUUCUAAAGGGUAAGAUUUGCUUUUGAAAUGACAGCACAUAUGUCAUGCUGCCUAAAUGAUGGUGCUUAGUGGGGGUCCAGGAAAAGAGACACACAUUAUUUCAUAGUUUGUUAACAAUUAAUAAAUCCCAUCUCAGUGAAUUAGCUCAGAUCGGGUUUGGUUUUUGCUCAAGUUUAAGUUAACGACAAGUAAGUGGAAGUUCUUCUCCAUUUGGUUUUUUAGGGGUCCAGCGUCUUUCCAUCUUUUGACCCUGUCAGGUCUACACCAUUUACUCCAAGUGAAAAAGAGAUAAUGGAGGAAAACGCGACCUGCAGGAGGGUGACGUUGGGGUUGACUCACUCUUCCUUUCAAUCUCAGUAGCCAACUUUGACAUCCCAGUGGGUACAUACUUAAGGUAUCUACAAGGCAGGAGACCCCCUACAAAAUGUUCUUUGGAAAAUUUUGAUAUGUGAAUAAACAUAUCCAGGUAAUCAUUCGAGGAGAACCAGGAACUACCUUGGCUUCUCUGAUACAUCUCUGACUUAUUACUUAAAUUAGCGUUGCUUGGGUUGACAUGUGCACCACCACUUUGCAUUACUUGAGUCUCUGAGCAUCUUAUCAGGACCUAAUCAAUGGCCCAGCUUCAUGUAUGAAUCAGCUGGGUGAGGCCAGGGAAAAAGAAAGGCAGGAGCAACCCAUUUGUGGAGAGCACUGAAUCGGAGCCCAGAGGCUAACACUGCAGUGGUUCUCUGUAUAACACUCAGCCUAUUUUAGGUAAAACCAUAGCACUGUGAAAGGCAAAGUCCCCUGAACCAAGCGCCAGGGAUGCUGGGUCUAAUUUUUGUCUAUGUCAUCGGCUUGAUAUAAGACCUCAGGCUGUUCACUAUUGGCUUGUGUAAAUAUAGCUCCUUUCUCAUCUGCAACUUCAUCCAAUGUUCCUACCUUGUGGUAGGUAUCUAUGGAAAGGCAAACAAUAAAAGCACUUCAAAAAGUGAGAAAUGCUUGCUUUAAUCUUCUUAAGAGUACAAGUUGGGCCCUCUGAAGCCAAAUCCUACACUGCAGAAAAUAUAUUAGAGUAAGGCUUUCAUUCUUAGGCAAUUUAUUGGAAAAAUAUUUUUUAAAUUCCUG
rnacentral:lncRNA from 1 species